rnacentral:rRNA from 1 species
AGCGCGGGGCAACCUGGCGGCGAGUGGCGAACGGGUGAGUAAUAUAUCGGAACGUACCCUGGAGUGGGGGAUAACGUAGCGAAAGUUACGCUAAUACCGCAUACGAUCUAAGGAUGAAAGUGGGGGAUCGCAAGACCUCAUGCUCCUGGAGCGGCCGAUAUCUGAUUAGCUAGUUGGCGGGGUAAAAGCCCACCAAGGCAACGAUCAGUAGCUGGUCUGAGAGGACGACCAGCCACACUGGAACUGAGACACGGUCCAGACUCCUACGGGAGGCAGCAGUGGGGAAUUUUGGACAAUGGGCGCAAGCCUGAUCCAGCAAUGCCGCGUGAGUGAAGAAGGCCUUCGGGUUGUAAAGCUCUUUUGUCAGGGAAGAAACGGUGGGGGCUAAUAUCCUCCGCUAAUGACGGUACCUGAAGAAUAAGCACCGGCUAACUACGUGCCAGCAGCCGCGGUAAUACGUAGGGUGCAAGCGUUAAUCGGAAUUACUGGGCGUAAAGCGUGCGCAGGCGGUUUUGUAAGUCUGUCGUGAAAUCCCCGGGCUCAACCUGGGAAUUGCGAUGGAGACUGCAAGGCUAGAAUCUGGCAGAGGGGGGUAGAAUUCCACGUGUAGCAGUGAAAUGCGUAGAUAUGUGGAGGAACACCGAUGGCGAAGGCAGCCCCCUGGGUCAAGAUUGACGCUCAUGCACGAAAGCGUGGGGAGCAAACAGGAUUAGAUACCCUGGUAGUCCACGCCCUAAACGAUGUCUACUAGUUGUCGGGUCUUAAUUGACUUGGUAACGCAGCUAACGCGUGAAGU